rnacentral:rRNA from 1 species
AACUUUCAACAACGGAUCUCUUGGUUCCAGCAUCGAUGAGAAACGCAGCGAAAUGCGAAAAGUAAUAAGUGAAUUGCAGAGCCAUAAGUGGAACAUCGAAUCUUUGAACGCACAUUGCGUGUCAGCGGUAUAUAACCCGUGACACAUGCUUUUUUGAGCG